rnacentral:lncRNA from 1 species
GGAAACGUUAGCCAGGAGUAGCCCAGGAGCCCUAGCCGGGAGAUGGGUCUAGCAUGGGCUAGCCCCAGGCUAGUUGGUGCUUUCUCCGGGACGGAAACGUUAGCCAGGAGUAGCCCAGGAGCCCUAGCCAGGAGAUGGGUCUACUAGCAUGGGCUAGCUCCAGGCUAGUUGGUGCUUUCUCCGGGACGGAAACGUUAGCCAGGAGUAGCCCAGGAGCCCUAGCCAGGAGAUGGGCCUAGCAUGGGCUAGCUCCAGGCUAGUUGGUGCUUUCUCCGGGACGGAAACGUUAGCCAGGAGUAGCCCAGGAGCCCUAGCCAGGAGAUGGGUCUAGCAUGGGCUAGCUCCAGGCUAGUUGGUGCUUUCUCCGGGACGGAAACGUUAGCCAGGAGUAGCCCAGGAGCCGUAGCCAGGAGAUGGGCCUAGCAUGGGCUAGCUCCAGGCUAGUUGGUGCUUUCUCCGGGACGGAAACGUUAGCCAGGAGUAGCCCAGGAGCCCUAGCCGGGAGAUGGGUCUAGCAUGGGCUAGCCCCAGGCUAGUUGGUGC